GCUUGGUUCCUGAUGUCUUCGCAAUAACAGCUGGAUUACCAGCAGCCCCUGUAGUACUUCAUCUAUUCUCUGGGCCACGAAGUUCCCAGAGAGGUUCUGCUGGGACUUGACCCUAGUCAUCUGUUGCAGUAGGAGACUGAGCUGGAUUCUGGAGUAACCAUCUAUCUAUCGCUCGCUGUCUUUGAGAAGGAGAAAGACUGCAUAGGGGCUGAGAAACCUCCAGAGGACUGGCCUAUUUGGGAGAGUCACUUUCCUAGUCAAAGGGCUGUAUUGCUUCUCCCUUGGGAAUGUGGCCUUGGAGCAAGAGUCUGUGCUGUCAUGGAGGUCCCCAGGCUCUCUGUAGGCACCCUCAACAGAAUGGGAGAGUCCAAAGUCCUUCCAGCUCGUGGAGAUGGUGCCCCCUGCUGGUAAGGCGACCCAAUCUCACCACAAUGAAGGUUGCCCUGUUGUCUUUACAGCAGCCGGCGUCAGGCCUCCCUUUCCUGCACCCUUGCCGAUUUAGCUAUCGAGCCUCAUUUUAGGGUCUGCUUUCUGAGACCACAUCUGGUAGAAACUUCUGGAAAGUGGGCUUUAGUUCAACCAAUUUUUUUGAACACAGGCUGCCUGGAGCAGUGGAACUGAGAAAGUGGACGAUGAUGGCCAGGUCUCCCCAGAGAGGAGAGGCGGCAGAGGUCCACACUUCCUGGCAGCCAUGGGAGCAAGGGCUGUGAUCUGACAGAGCAGGUGACAUGUACAGCAUCUGCCAGGCCCCUCCCCCAUCUAGUCAGCUGACAUGUCUAGGGUAUCCUGAGGAGACAUCCAGGGAGCUUCUUGGGAGCUUGCAUUCUGGACAGAUGAGACAGUACAGGUCAGGACACAGCGAAGGCAGCUACUGGAGCAUCUGGUCAAGGCUGUGUGGUGGAACCAAGAGGUCAGCAGGAAUGAAUGCCAGGCUUAUGGGCAUGGAGGGUAUGGGUGUCCAGGCAAGAGAACUCCCAGUGGGCUUGGGUAGCCAAGGUUUGGGAGAAUGUGUGGAGAACAUGGAAGACAGGAAGAUUAGGAUCUCCCUGUGGUAUCUGAGGCACCUCAGGUCUUGGCACUGGCCUAGGUGCAUCUUCUGAUCCUUGUCUGCCAAGGUUUCUCACUCCAUCAGAAAUCUUCAAGGUCACAGUGUCCCGAUUGACCUGUGUGCCUUGUCCUCGAUAAUUAUUUGGGAGGGCAAAUAGUGCUUAGUUAACCUGACUUUGGACACUGGUCAACUAAACUUUUCUGGUAAGUGUUGGCUUUAGCAGCAGAAGGGUUUUGACACUUUAUUUGAGAAACAGGAUAAAAAUGUCUUUGUCCUUCCCUCCCACAAAGCAGAGUGCUCUGUGAUCAUUAGUUUUAACUGUUUUCUGACACAAUCUACAGUUACCUGGGAAGAGAGUGUUAGUGUGGAAUUGUUUAGAUCAGGUUAGUCUAUGGGGGGGGGUAUCUCUUUUUUAUGACAACUGUCUUUUUAUUUAGUAAGGUUGUAACUGAAUAUAAUUGCACGACUUUCCCUCCUCCCUUUCCUCCCACUAGCCCUUAAUAAUUCCUCAACCCCUGCACAUGUUGCUCCUCCUCAAGUUGUUAGCCUAUUUUUUUGGGGGGGGUUGUUGACAUUUUUAUUUUUUAUUUUUAUUUUUUAUCAAACUAAUAAAAUUUAUUUUAAAAU
rnacentral:lncRNA from 1 species